UACGUAGGGUCCAAGCGUUAUCCGGAAUCACUGGGCGUAAAGCGUGCGUAGGUGGAUUGUUAAGUGCGAUGCGAAAUCCUGUGGCUCAACCAUAUGGACUGUAUCGCAUACUGGCAAUCUUGAGGACAUGAGAGGCAAGUGGAAUUACUGGUGUAGCAGUGAAAUGCGUAGAGAUCAGUAGGAACACCAAUGGCGAAGGCAGCUUGCUGGCAUGUAUCUGACGCUGAGACGCGAAAGCGUGGGGAGCAAACAGG
rnacentral:rRNA from 1 species